GGAUCAAUUGAUUGGUCAUGCCUACGGUAUGUACUAGUCAUAUUGGUUCUCACCUUCUAAUGAACCUUAAUGUCAUUCACUUGAUGUUUUGGGGAAUUAGGACUGUUACCUUGAAAAAAUUAGAGUGUUUAAAGCAAGUGAAUAACAGCCUGAAUACAUUAGCAUGGAAUAAUAGAAUAG
rnacentral:rRNA from 1 species